GAGUUUGAUCGUGGCUCAGGAUGAACGCCGGCGGUGUGCCUAAUACAUGCAAGUCGUACGCACUGGCCCAACUGAUUGAUGGUGCUUGCACCUGAUUGACGAUGGAUCACCAGUGAGUGGCGGACGGGUGAGUAACACGUAGGUAACCUGCCCCGGAGCGGGGAUAACAUUUGGAAACAGAUGCUAAUACCGCAUAACAACAAAGGCCACAUGGCUUUUGUUUGAAAGAUGGCUUUGGCCAUCACUCUGGGAUGGACCUGCGGUGCAUUAGCUAGUUGGUAAGGUAACGGCUUACCAAGGCGAUAAUGCAUAGCCGAGUUGAGAGACUGAUCGGCCACAAUGGAACUGAGACACGGUCCAUACUCCUACGGGAGGCAGCAGUAGGGAAUCUUCCACAAUGGGCGCAAGCCUGAUGGAGCAACACCGCGUGAGUGAAGAAGGGUUUCGGCUCGUAAAGCUCUGUUGUUGGAGAAGAACGUGCGUGAG
rnacentral:rRNA from 1 species